UACAGAGGUCUCAAGCGUUGUUCGGAAUCACUGGGCGUAAAGCGUGCGUAGGCUGUUUCGUAAGUCGUGUGUGAAAGGCGCGGGCUCAACCCGCGGACGGCACAUGAUACUGCGAGACUAGAGUAAUGGAGGGGGAACCGGAAUUCUCGGUGUAGCAGUGAAAUGCGUAGGUAUCGAGAGGAACACUCGUGGCGAAGGCGGGUUCCUGGACAUUAACUGACGCUGAGGCACGAAGGCCAGGGGAGCGAAAGGG
rnacentral:rRNA from 1 species